AUGCUUUCUUCAGCAGCAUAUAGAGUAAAACUGGAACAAUUCAAAGAAGAGAAUGGCCCUGUACAUGGAUGACACACAAAUUUAUGAUGUGUUCCAUUAAAAA
ensembl:snRNA U6 U6 spliceosomal RNA